GCCAGGCGUGGUGGUGCACGCCUGUAAUCCCAGUGGCUCGGGAGGCUGAGGCAGAAGGAUCAUGAGUUCAAAACCAGCCUUAGCAAAAGUGCUAAGGUGCUAAGCAACUCAGUGAGACCCUGUCUCUA
rnacentral:sRNA from 1 species